AACGUAGGUUCCGAGCGUUAUCCGGAUUUACUGGGCGUAAAGCGCGUUCAGGCGGUUUGGCAAGUCGGGCGUGAAAUCUCUCGGCUCAACCGGGAGAGGUUGUCCGAUACUGCUGGACUUGAGGGCAGUAGAGGGUGGUGGAAUUCCGGGUGUAGUGGUGAAAUGCGUAGAUAUCCGGAGGAACACCAGUGGCGAAAGCGGCCACCUGGACUGCACCUGACGCUGAAACGCGAAAGCUAGGGGAGCGAACGGG
rnacentral:rRNA from 1 species